AGAACCACAGAGUGAAUCUAUCAUCUGAGAAAAGGAAUUGAGUGGUAGAUAGGGAUUUACUACAUUUGUGAUUAUAUAGUUGAAAUUGCCAAAGCUAACAUUGUACUAGGAUCUGGAUCACUUAUCGGGCGUAUUCUAUCUUUACCUUCUACUGCUCUAAAUGUGCCAAACAAUAGGAUGCAUCCUCUUUCUCUUAGCUCUCUGCAGGAAGAAAGACUAAGAAAUUUGAGGCACCGGCUUGAAGUGCCCUUUGAUGGUUCCAAAACAGAGCACCAAGUAUGUGGUUAAUGCAAGUUUUGUAAUUUUCAAAUCAAUAUUCUGACAUUCGCU